CUUUGUGAGUUAUCAUCUCCAAAUAUUGUCUUGGGCAAACACACGCACACACUUUUGGCGACAUCUUGUUUUUGGUGCAGGAUAGAUAGACGAGUUCACUCACAACAACAAUGCAGUUACAUGUCUGCGUCCACCUGACAGCAUUACUGAUGAAGGGAGAGAGGAAAGAGGAGAGAGGUGCAAGCUGGACUGGACCUUGACAAUCAGAGAAGAAAGGGAGCGAGAGAAGAGAGACAGCUUCUUUCCCUUUCCUUGCUUUUAUCUGCCUGAUGUCAGAGGAAAACGAGGCGGAUUCAGCUUCUCUGAUUGGUCAGAGAAGACAACACCCACGGCUCAGACCCGCUGUCCUGAGUGGAUGUUACAGAUUGACAAGAGGAUGUGUGAGCGAGAGAGAGGAGAGAGAGAGAGAGAGAAAAGCUCCAUUCAAGAGCAAGUGUAGGGAUUGCACUUGCAAAUGUAUGUUUGCUAUCAUCUGUAUGUGCAUACUUCUGUCUGUAUAAGCAUGUAAGCAUGUACUUAUGUAAAUCAGAUGAUUUGAGCGUGAGCUACUAAAUAUAGAUAGUUAUAGAUUUUUUUAUGCCAGAAGUAGGAGUUUGAUGAAAUAAUUUUAACCCUUAGAACACAAAGCAUUUUGGCUGCUUUUUUCCAUUACUAUAUUUUAGUAUAGCGUGUACAACAUAGAGUGUUUUAUAUCAUUUUAUUCAGCACAACUUAGGCAAUCUAAUGAAAAAUAAUAUUUUCACCAACUAUAUAGCAAAAAGUACUCAAAAUCUUAAAAAUCAGAUUGAAUUUGUGAGUUCACUUGGCUCGGUCUAUUUUGUACUAAAACUGUGAUAUAAAAUGAAUCAUAACUUUGACUCAACAACGCAGAAAAACGCAUUUUUGAAAAGAUGUGACCUAUAAACACACACCCACAGGAUGUACAUAUAAGGAGUUGUGUAUGAUUCCCGCAGAAAAUGACCAUGGGUGUAAUAAUUAAAAUCUCAAAAAAUCUAAAUUUCAUCUGCAGUAACUUCACUCACUUCUAAUCAGUGAAUAAAGCAUGCACGGUUAAUUAAUGUGUAACUGAAAUGAUGUAAGAAGUGGUUAUAUGUAUAUUAAUGUACAGUUUGUUGUAUCAAAGAUCAUUGUUCUUUCAGGUGUUAUCCCUUAAUACAUAAUGCACUUUAUGCAUUAGCCUACAAAUACAUUUUUCCUAGGUAUUUAUUUUAAUGUAUCAUUUUUUAAUCUUAAUCUGUAUCUUAAUUAUAAGACCAUCAUGUGAGUCACUUUGUU